rnacentral:lncRNA from 1 species
UGGGAAUUUAAAGGGAACUACAACAACAAGAAUCAUCACUUGUCGACUACUUCAAUUAGACUUGGCUCAUAGUCGUUCGGGGCCACAAAUCCAUGGAGGUUCAUCACUGUCGCAGCUACAUUCGCAAGCCCAGGUGUCUCGAUAUCCUGUCUGAACCUAACUCCUGCUGACAAGCCAGGACCUCCUAUGGCAAUUGGCACCUGCACACACACAUCAUUUCCAAAUUUCACAUAAGACACACUAACCACUUCUGGUAGUAAACCCUCUAAUGCUUAAUCUAUGCUCAGUUGCAAUGGUCAUAACACACUGUUUUAGUAUUGCUAGAACUUACUGGUUUAAGGGUGUGAGAGGUAAGAAUCUGAAGGUUCCCUUCCUUAUCGAGAGCGGGCUUGCCAGAUUUGUCCCUUUUAACCAUGUCCUCGGCAUUUCCGUGAUCUGCAGUCACAACGUAUAUCCCUCCGACCUGUUCUAUGGCAUCAAG